ACCGCCAAAGUUGAGAACCAUUGCGUAGUUAGGGCCACCUACCCUUGACCAAUGGUGGUUAGAACUGGUGGAUAAAUACAUCUCUUGGGGGAGAAUGCUCAGCACAUUCUAUGAAAACAACUCAGUGUCCCAGUGGGAUUGAGCCUUUGUUACCCACAGUGGUGAUCAGUUAGAUAACGCACCAUUGAAUUAUCUUCCCUCAUUCUCUAUUUCGCUCUUCCAAGACCCACACUCCUGUUCCUGGGAUUAAUUACAAACUGAACUGUGUGCACUCAGCCACUUAUCUCAGGCUGCUUUUGAGAAGGAACCCAGGCUAACGUAGGCAGAAAAGCGUAGAGCUUAUAUCUGGCCCUCAUUUCCUGGUCCUCAUGGGAGCGUACGAAGGAAGGAAGUAUUUGCUCCCCGUGGAAACCUUGGGAGUUGCUCAGGGCUUGGACACUCGGAGAGCAGUCAACCAUCGACUGACAGGAAGUCCACCUGUAACCAGCAGUAAGUUUCAGAACAUUCUUGUCAUGGGUCUGAAGAGAUUUAAAAGUUAUCUUGAAGACAGAGGUCAAUGUCGCAGUGGUCUGCCAGAAUUCAAAAACCAAAAAAAGCUUACUGAGAAAAGAAGGAUUGUUUUACAUUUGGAAAUCUCUUUAAUGUGUGACUUCAUAGAUGUCUGGAUUCUCCUGUUUCUGCAUUCAAUCUGUUGUGACACUCUACAGCAUGAAGCUUCUGGAAAACUCCAAUGUGUUUGUGAGAGAAUGAGAGUGAAAAUGGCAAAUGACAUUUUAAUAUUAUUAUGAAAGUAGUUUGGCCUCGUAUAGCUGUUACCACACAAAAUUGGGGUUCUCUGCCUGACGUGCAUGAAAAAACACAGUUAAUUAUGCUUUUGGGAAAAGAAAUCAGCUUCAUUCUGUGAGAUGGAUCUGCAGAGAGAACAGGGGGCAUGUGCCCUCAGAUCUGUCUCCUUGAUUCAGGAUUUGGGGUGAAAUUUGAGAGGUUAGGGAGAACAGGCUGGCACGUGGAAAUGCUGCUGGGGCAGGUUUUGUUCGGUGGGCUCCAAGGAUUUAUGGUAAGGUUUUAAACGUUUGUGACAGGUUCUAAACUUCUAUGAUGGGGUUCUAAACAUUUUUGACAAGGUGAGGAAGGAAUUUCAACACUGGAUCUUCCUGAAUGAGGGACCCCUCACUUCCAAUAAGAGUCUGACUUUCAAGUUCCAGUCAUGUCCUUCCUUGGGUUCUGUGGGAAGGAGAAUCUUGGGUUCUGGGGUCAUUUCAGGUCAAGAUUUCUCCUUUUGCACAUGCCCUGGCUACGUGACUUUGCCGAUUUUCUCAAAGGCAAUUCUUAAUUACUCUGUUGAUAAGAGAUGGAGUCUGUUGAAUUGGUCCUGGAGGGCCUGCGAUUGCAUAACUGCUGACAGGCUCUCAAGGUCUCUGAGGCAUCCAGGGCCUGCGCUUUGAGAAUUGAUGGUCUGGGUCCUUUCUGAGCUAAUUCUUUGAGCUAGCCCAGCGAGCAACGGGCGGCUGAGCACCUGCCCUCCCCCACCCCCUCAUCUCUUUUAGCCUUUCCCAAACAAUUCAUUCUUUUGAAUUAAGGCAUUAUUUUCUAUCAAAGUGCAAAUACCAGUGGGAGAGAUAACACAUUACGCUGUUACCAGCUGUCAAUUCCUUCGGGUGACCAAACCUAAUUCAUUUUAACUUGAGAGUCCAUGAGAACAGAAAAGAGAUGAAACAGAAAGAAGAAGGGCCAGAAAUUGGGUGUGGAAGGACCCCUCUCCCCAGCUCAGUGUCAACUUUUUCUAUUUCACAGCAGGGCCUAGGAGAAGCCUGGUUUCUGGAUACUUAGCUCACAGCUAUGACGAGAAGCCAUUCCCUAAUCUGUUUUAAUUGCUUAUUCUCAAGAGCUACCUGAGUUAUAGUACCCCUGUGGCCACUAACAUCCAAUUUCGGACUCAUUGAUCCAGGAAAUGGAAAGAGUUACAACUACUAAUAAAAAGCCAAUCAAAACAAAAGCCACUAAUUUCUGUGGAGAAGUAUUUUUAUCGAUAACCGUGCAGGAAGCUCUUUAUUAAUCUAUCUUCAUGGGGCUGGCCCCAUGGCCAAGUGGUUAAGUUUGCGUGCUCCAAUUUGGCGGCCCAAGGUUUCGGUGGUUUGGAUCCUGGGUGCAGACAUGUCAUCGCUCGUCAGGCCACGCUGGGGCAGCAUCCCAAAUGCCACAGCUAGAAAGACCCACAACUAAAAUAU
rnacentral:lncRNA from 1 species